GACUCUACUCACCCUGAUCAUUUUCAACGCUCCGAGUAGGAUGCUGCUUAACUUCCUGUGUCGAAGGGAACGCACACAUACUUUGCAAGCUGUCCACAGAGCUUAACCCUUGCAGACCCAGCAUCAAACCAGUUGAUUCUAUGCUGCAUACCCUCUCUGAGGCCUGUGUACACCCUAUAUCCUUUUUGAAUUGCAACGAGCAGCGCUGGCUGGCCACAGUAUCUGAAAAUGCUGCCUUUAUCGCUGAGUGUUUCAAACACUUCGGGCUUUUAUUGUUCCUCUUGCUGCACAACGAUUAAAAAAACCUGCAAUGGUGGAGAAAUCAGAUCUGAAAA